rnacentral:misc_RNA from 1 species
AACGCACUUUGCACCUAGUGGCUUUUGUCACUAGGUAUACUUGUUUGAGUAUCAAAAACAACCUCACCUACCUUUCGAGGCAAGGUGGACUUGAGAGUUCGACUGACUAGGGGCAUUCGUGUCUCUGAGAGGUCGUCUCUUUAAAUGUGGUGGUCCUUUGUGGAAGGUCUCCGUCUGGAACCUGACAGACUAUUGGGAUAACAUCCUAACGAUCGUCUGUUGGUUCAUUUAUGGGCGUUGACUGACCUUGGCCAACUCUGAAGGAGCAUGGGCUUUACGGCUUAUGUGACUUUACUAGUGUGACGCAAGUCGCAUUGUCAUAUGAUCUCAAAUCAAGUAAGGAUACCCGCUGAACUUAA